UAUUCGUUGAUGUAAAAAGCAUAAAAAGGUUUGAUCUUUUAAGAAAUGGUGUAAUUCCAUUACGUAUAA
rnacentral:tRNA from 1 species